rnacentral:rRNA from 1 species
UAGGGAAUCUUCCACAAUGGACGCAAGUCUGAUGGAGCAACGCCGCGUGAGUGAAGAAGGUUUUCGGACCGUAAAGCUCUGUUGUUGGUGAAGAAGGAUAGAGGUAGUAACUGGCCUUUAUUUGACGGUAAUCAACCAGAAAGUCACGGCUAACUACGUGCCAGCAGCCGCGGUAAUACGUAGGUGGCAAGCGUUGUCCGGAUUUAUUGGGCGUAAAGCGAGCGCAGGCGGAAGAAUAAGUCUGAUGUGAAAGCCCUCGGCUUAACCGAGGAAUUGCAUCGGAAACUGUUUUCUUGAGUGCAGAAGAGGAGAGUAGAACUCCAUGUGUAGCGGUGGAAUGCGUAGAUAUAUGGAAGAAUACCAGUGGCGAAGGCGGCUCUCUGGUCUGCAACUGACGCUGAGGCUCGAAAGCAUGGGUAGCGAACAGGAUUAGAUACCCUGGUAGUCCAUGCCGUAAACGAUGAGUGCUAAGUGUUGGGAGGCUUCCGCCUCUCAGUGCUGCAGCUAACGCAUUAAGCACUCCGC